rnacentral:lncRNA from 1 species
GGAGAGGCGCUGGCGCCGGCUCUGGCGCGGAGAGGUGCAGGCCCAGGCUCCACUCCCCAGCUGUGAAAGGGGAUUCCAAGCGACAGGGACGGGGUUUCACUGUGUUGGCCAGGAUGGUCUCGAUCUCUUGACCGUGUGAUCUGCCUGCUUCGGCCUCCCAAAGUGCUGGUAUUACAGGCGUGAGCCACUGCGCCCAGUCAAAGAUGUUCUCUUUUAAGAUUACUUUUUAAAAAGACUCACACGGUACCUUCCCACAAGAAGACAUGGAGACUAUGUGACGUAGCCUGUGGGUCCCUGGACACCGGGACUAGAGGACCCUUCCCAAGAGCAGACCGCAGGCAAGAUACCAUUCAUUGGCCUCGCUGCCUGUGCCCGCGGAUUCCGCACGUGGCCACACCUCUUCUAUACAAGGCAAGGUGGCGGUAGGAGCUGCACUCCUUUCUCUAGUGUUGCCAAGAUUUCCAUCACUGGAAUGUGAAGCCCUUCACCUCUCAGAAUGCCAGAGAGAAGGAGUCCCUCCUGUGGUCCUGCAGUGUCACCCCAAAAGCUGCCCAGGUUGCCAGAUGUGUCUGAGAGAAGUGAGGCCACCUGACUCAUUUAGCCCAGUGCAGGGGAACUUCUCUGAAUGUGGCCCGGGUGCUUGAAAGAGCUCUACCCCACAAGUGGAAACCCCUCUUCUCCACUAGGUAUUCUGCUCUCAGAUCCACCCCUGCUGAGAAUACACUUCUGGUGGAGAGGCACUGCUCCUAAGUGCUGUCAGCAAUGAGGACUUCCUGUCUGGAGUAGGGUAGUCCCAGUGAAACUGACUAUCACUACAGGGCCCGGCUCGCCUCCGUUCGUGUACCCCAGCACACCAGGCACAUCGCUUACUGCUGGUUCUUUACAUGCCAGCCAGAUUCAGCUGUGGAUGCUGUAGGCAUUUAGUUUAGAGAUCUUCCUCCACCCUGGGCAGUAAAACAGUGUCUGAAGUUGACUUAAUGGCCUCCCAAGCCUGGUCUCCUACCCGCUGGGCAAAAGCUGCAGGAUGGGUCCUGCCUCGGUCAUGGGAAUGAAUAUGAAACCGAAAGAGCCAGUCCUUCAAGAUGGAUCCCUAGUGGCUAACUGGGCCUAAAUUUAACAUUGAGCCUAGUGGUCAUUUAUUGACUAGACAUCACAGAUGUACUCUGUGUCAACAGAAAACCCAUACCUCUGUUCAACUUUGGGACUUUCAGAACUCACCUGAACCAACCAAUCAGAACUUAGCUUCAUCAAGUAAUUAGAACUAAGCAAGUUUGAAUCCUUCAUUUGCAUAAAUGGACUUGAGUGGGAACCCGGACAGGAACUUUUGCUGUCAAAACUGAAACCUCCUUUUGCUCCCUGGAAGGAACCUUCAUUUUAGACCACAGGUCACAUCUCCCCAUUUUGCAAACUGCUUAGU